AAGACAUGAAGUUAGGUCAGCAAACCCGCUGAAUUUAAGCAUAUAAGUAAGCGGAGGAAAAGAAACUAAAUAGGAUUCCCUCAGUAAUGGCGAAUGAACAGGGAUGAGCUCAGCAUGGAAAUUGGGGCCCUGUGGCCUUGAAUUGUAGUCUGGAGAUGUACCACCAACUGGGGCGCAGAUGUAAGCCUCUUGGAAAAGAGCAUCAAUGAGGGUGAGAGUCCCGCUUGGCAUCUGCAGUCCCCAGUGCACGGUGUACCUUCUAAGAGUCACGUUCCUCGGGAUUGGAGCGCAAAUCGGGUGGUAAGUUUCAUCUAAAGCUAAAUAUUGUUUCGAGACCGAUAGCAAACAAGUACCAUGAGGGAAAGGUGAAAAGGACUUUGAAAAGAGAGUUAAAAGUGCCUGAAAUUGCUGAAAGGGAAGCGAAUGGAAUCAGCGUAACUUGGUGAGAUUGCUGCGUGUCAGUGUGAUUGCUUGCUGCUUCAACGUAAGUGUGGUGGUAAGUCUUGAACAGGACAUGCGUGGUGCUUCUUGCCUUGUGUGUCACCGUCAGUUCGCAGCUGGGGAAAACUUCAAAGACAUGGUAGCCUGUCUCCGGGUGGGUGAAUGUGUUUGCUGGAACUCAUGUGCGGAUUGCUUGGUGACUAAAUGGUUCCAUCUGACCCGUCUUGAAACAC
rnacentral:rRNA from 1 species